GAUGAACGCUGGCGGCGUGCCUAAUACAUGCAAGUCGAGCGAAUGGAUUAAGAGCUUGCUCUUAUGAAGUUAGCGGCGGACGGGUGAGUAACACGUGGGUAACCUGCCCAUAAGACUGGGAUAACUCCGGGAAACCGGGGCUAAUACCGGAUAAUAUUUUGAACUGCAUGGUUCAAAAUUGAAAGGCGGCUUCGGCUGUCACUUAUGGAUGGACCCGCGUCGCAUUAGCUAGUUGGUGAGGUAACGGCUCACCAAGGCAACGAUGCGUAGCCGACCUGAGAGGGUGAUCAGCGACACUGGGACUGAGACACGGCCCAGACGCCUACGGGAGGCAGCAGUAGGGAAUCUUCCGCAAUGGACGAAAGUCUGACGGAGCAACGCCGCGUGAGUGAUGAAGGCUUUCGGGUCGUAAAACUCUGUUGUUAGGGAAGAACAAGUGCUAGUUGAAUAAGCUGGCACCUUGACGGUACCUAACCAGAAAGCCACGGCUAACUACGUGCCAGCCGCCGCAGUAA
rnacentral:rRNA from 1 species